rnacentral:lncRNA from 1 species
CAGCAGCAGAUCCCAUCCGCCAAUCUACUCUUUUCUUUAUCUUUUGUUUUAGAUUUCAUUCAUCCAAUCCAUAAAAACCAAAAGAAUCAUAUCUUGUUUCUGUUCUUGUUCCUAUUGAAAACUCACUAAAAGUUCAUAUCUGUUACAGGUUCGAUCACAAGCAAGAGACGAGCCGGCCGGUACCAUCCAUCUGAGGCAAGGCUGAACCGCGGAACGGCCAUCCGUCCGUCCGUCCGUCCAUCCGUUCGACCCUCCGACCCGUGCCUACAACAUUUUUGUAUUAGAGCUGAAGUUUCCUGCAAAACUCAGUUCUUUCUGAACCCUAGCCGUCACAUUCAAAACAAAAUAUCUACUUUCCUUAUUUUUAAAUUUUCGGUUUGUUCUCCAAGUUUUCGAUUUUUACAUUUAAAAAAAAAAAUUUAAGUAGUUUUACUUUCUUUCCAAGUUUUCGAAAAUCAAAAAAAAAAUAUUCCUCUUUCCUUUUUCAAACUAGAUUCGAUUUUGUCUUAACUUUUUGCAUUCACUCCUAGUCUUGGUCGAUACUCCAAGUAUCCGACCCAAGCAACUAUUUAACCCCCCCUCUUGCCUUUUAAUCUUUCUUGAGUAUCUUUUCAGAGAACCAUGGGAGAUGUAGGUCAAGACCAAGCGGCCAUAAACGCUCAGCUCCUAGCUGACAAUGAAGAACUGAGGGCGAGCCUUAGGACUAUCACCGCCGAGCUUGCUCAGUUACGACAGGGAGGCAGGCCCAACGGACCUCGACCACCAGGAAGGCAUCUGCCGGACCCGCAUGACACUGACUCGGACGUGGACAGUACUGAUGAUAUGCGCAGUCAGGACGAGGAGAGGCCGAACCGGGGAGGUAGGAGGAACGCGCG